UACGGGAGGCAGCAGUGGGGAAUAUUGCACAAUGGGCGAAAGCCUGAUGCAGCUAUGCCGCGUGUAUGAAGAAGGCCUUAGGGUUGUAAAGUACUUUCAUCGGGGAGGAAAAACAAAACUAAUAAUUUUAUUUCUUGACGUUACCCGAAAAAGAAGCACCGGCUAACUCCGUGCCAGCAGCCGCGGUAAUACGGAGGGUGCUAGCGUUAAUCAGAAUUACUGGGCGUAAAGAGCGCGUAGGUGGUUUUUUAAGUCAGAUGUGAAAUCCCUGGGCUUAACCUAGGAACUGCAUUUUGAAACUGAAAUACUAGAGUAUCGUAGAGGGAGGUAGAAUUCUAGGUGUAGCGGUGAAAUGCGUAGAUAUCUGGAGGAAUACCUGUGGCGAAAGCGGCCUCCUAAACGAAUACUGACACUGAGGUGCGAAAGCGUGGGGAGCAAACAGGGAUUAGAUACCCGU
rnacentral:rRNA from 1 species